UUCGCAAGGUCGCAUGGCGGCUCCUCCCGACCACUCUGGGUUCUGAUCCGAUCGAUGCGGGAGGGACGACUCCCAUGGCCACCGCGCUGGAUUCUGGCCGACGCGACGAACGCCCUGGCCGGCGAGAAGAUCCGGCGGCCGCGCGUGAUGCGGGUGAAUCGGGGGCCGGCCGAUCCAGCCGACGCGGUCGUUCGCCUGCGAAUUGGAAAUGGAGGGACGCCAUCGAUGAUGGCCGGCGCCUCAUCCGCUGGAUACUCGGCAACGAUGCCGCGGCCUUUAGGUUGGGUUACGAGUGCGCGGUCCAUGGUUCCGCUACCGUCCGUUGAAAGAUCGGACAUCAUGGUUUUUGUCAUUACCCUGCCACUAAUCAUCCGAAGAGAUGGAGAUGAGGUUGCUGUUUGACCAUGAUACGAAGAGUGUCUUUGGGAUUGGAGGAUAAUGACUGGGUUCAAACCAUUUUGCUUCCCGACAACGUAAUAGUUGUGCAACAUAUUGAUUAAACAAGUGGAGAAUUUACUAUUUGUUCAGAUGGCAAAGAAGCACUCAUCUGCAGUUAAAGUGAUGCCGAAAUUCUGGAACCUGAGCAAGAGAAGCAUGUUUUCACAAAAUUAUGAGAAGAUCUGCUGAAUAGACUACGUUUUCUGCAUUGUGCGCUCUUGUCUCAAUUGCUGCAAGUACUUUUGACAAAAUGCUAUUUAUCCGUUCAAGUUAAUCUGAAGAAUUGGUACUAAUUGUAAGUCUACUUCAUCUGAUCUUGUCUCUUUAAUUAUUUUUGAGUAUAUAAUUUUUUCUGACUUCUCCAUACCACAAAAUACAACACAAAUUUUUACAUGCUUAUAUGUAUGGUGUAUGGUGUUUAUUUUUCUUUUGGUGGUUCAUUUCUUCUUUACGGGAAGUAUGUAAUACAUUGAAUGCAAACAUAGCAGAACCUGUAUUCUAGGAUUUUACAUGCUCAUAUGCAUGGUGUCAGCUCUAACAAGGUACAAUAUUUUCAAAAGGGUUAGUGCCCAAGUUCUACAGAAUUACGCAGACAUAGUUUGUUCUGUUGACCUAAGAACAUGACUUCUCUUUAUUUUCUCUCCUAAGGCUUUGAGCUUCGUGGAAGCUAUUUCUAUGAUGAAAGGGAUAAGAACUUAGUCCUUUUAGAUAAGGAACAUACAUAAAUUAUUUCAAAACUGUAUCAUUUGGGAAACAAAUAAUAGUUCCGUCAAUUUGUAUCGAGUAGUGACAUAUGAGUAACCCUCACUUGGUCUCAUUGAAAUCUUGCCGCUAUUCAGCCAAAGCCAGUAACAUUUCUAAGCAAUGUGGUCUAUUUCUGCUCGAUCAGUGGAGCCUCGGUGGAUCUGUAUCACAA